AAUUCUCAACAAAAUUAAGUUACCUCAUAUGGCAGUGUUCCAUAGCUGUAUCAUUAGAAUGUUUCUAACAUUUCUCUUAUAGAAAAACCAUUUUCUGACACUUUUUACACAACUAAUGGAAGGAAACAAUCAUGAAGGCCAUAGCUCAGUGCUGGACGUCUGAUGAGUGAAAAACAGGAGUCAAAAUAAUCAUGUUUGUCAAUGUGUGGUUGGCAGGAAUGUGCCGCCAAGAAUAAGACAGGAAAUGCAGUAGAAACAGGGACUGGAAUGUGGGAUUCUCAACAUGUCAUGAUAGGACGGUGGGCAAAAGCUUUUGUAACAAUGAUGCAUGCUGGUCUGACUUUCUUCAAAAAAUGGGUGCGUGAUCCUGCUCUUUGCCAUGUCAAUAUUUUACAUCGGAAUGUUGAUUGAUAGCAAUGGCAAAUGGAAUAUCCUAUAUCAUAAUGAUAAUGUGUCAACAAGUCAACACUGGCCCGUUGAUGUGCAGAGAGUCGAGAACCCUUUGCUAUAUUUGGCUGUUGACUGUUGUCGACCUGUUGAUCACAGACUGGGAAUAUUCGUGGGAGUAACAAGCAAGCGGUGAUAAACACUUCAACAAUCAAUUAUUCGCAUAGCAAUAGCAGACACCACGCCCAAGCCCAGGUUUCAUUUCAUGACGUAGGCACGCAUGCCUCUACUUAUCAGCCAUCAGUUCCGAUGUUUGUUUAGUGUAUUAUCAAGAAACUGCUUACUGCAUGGCAGUCAUCAUACCAAGAGCAUCAUCUGUACAACAACUUAGUUAUACACGUAGCUCUGAAGUGAAUAUGUCUGAAUUUCUCUAUAUACAUCAGUAAAAAUAUAAGCGAUCUAGACACAAAAUCUAUACAAAACGGAAUCUGUUCUAUCUGUUCUAUGAGAGUCCGG